UACGUAGGGACCGAGCGUUGUCCGGAUUCAUUGGGCGUAAAGAGCUUGUAGGCGGUCUGUCGCGUCUGCUGUGAAAAUCCGGGGCUCAACCCCGGACUUGCAGUGGGUACGGGCAGACUAGAGUGUGGUAGGGGAGACUGGAAUUCCUGGUGUAGCGGUGAAAUGCGCAGAUAUCAGGAGGAACACCGAUGGCGAAGGCAGGUCUCUGGGCCACUACUGACGCUGAGAAGCGAAAGCAUGGGGAGCGAACAGG
rnacentral:rRNA from 1 species